AUGAACGCUGGCGGCGUGCCUAAUACAUGCACGUCGAGCGAACAGACGAGGAGCUUGCUCCUCUGGCGUUAGCGGCGGACGGGUGAGUAACACGUGGAUAACCUACCUAUAAGACUGGGAUAACUUCGGGAAACCGGAGCUAAUACCGGAUAAUAUAUUGAACCGCAUGGUUCAAUAGUGAAAGACGGUUUUGCUGUCACUUAUAGAUGGAUCCGCGCCGCAUUAGCUAGUUGGUAAGGUAACGGCUUACCAAGGCAACGAUGCGUAGCCGACCUGAGAGGGUGAUCGGCCACACUGGAACUGAGACACGGUCCAGACUCCUACGGGAGGCAGCAGUAGGGAAUCUUCCGCAAUGGGCGAAAGCCUGACGGAGCAACGCCGCGUGAGUGAUGAAGGUCUUCGGAUCGUAAAACUCUGUUAUUAGGGAAGAACAAAUGUGUAAGUAACUAUGCACGUCUUGACGGUACCUAAUCAGAAAGCCACGGCUAACUACGUG
rnacentral:rRNA from 1 species